rnacentral:rRNA from 1 species
ACAGUGGACGCGAGCAUCUUGUUUUCUGUAGGUUAAGUUGUCAAGGGCGAACGGUGGAUGCCUUGGCACCAGGAGCCGAUGAAGGACGUGGGAGGCCGCGAUAGGCCUGGGGGAGCUGUCAACCAAGCUGUGAUCCCAGGGUGUCCGAAUGGGGAAACCUGACAUCAGUCAUGUGGUGUCACCUGCAUCUGAAUUCAUAGGGUGUAUGGGGGGAACGCGGGGAAGUGAAACAUCUCAGUACCCGUAGGAAGAGAAAACAACAGUGAUUCCGUGAGUAGUGGCGAGCGAAAGCGGAUCUAGCCUAAACUUGUGGCGUGUGAUACCUGUCAGGGGUUACGUCAUGGGGGUUGUGGGACCCACUUAUCAUAUCUGACAGUGUGGUGAGGAGUUAUAAAGUUGCAUGUUAGUCGAACGACGUGGGAAAGUCGGCCGUAGACGGUGAGAGCCCGGUAGACGAAAAUGUGUGACCUCCUUGUGGUGUUCCCGAGUAGCGGCGGACUCCUGUAAUCUGCCGUGAAUCUGCCAGGACCACCUGGUAAGGCUGAAUACUUCCUGGUGACCGAUAGCGGACAAGUACCGUGAGGGAAUGGUGAAAAGUACCCCGGGAGGGGAGUGAAAUAGUACCUGAAACCGUUCGCCUACAAUCCGUCAGAGCCUCCUUGUUGGGGUGAUGGCGUGCCUUUUGAAGAAUGAGCCUGCGAGUUAGUGGCAUGUGGCGAGGUUAACCCGUGUGGGGUAGCCGUAGCGAAAGCGAGUCUGAAGAGGGCGUCUUUAGUCGCAUGUUCUAGACCCGAAGCGGAGUGAUCUAGCCAUGGGCAGGUU